rnacentral:misc_RNA from 1 species
AGGAAUAUUUAACUGUGAUUGAUCGAUGUGCUUACAGUUACGAUUAAAACUUUUUCGCAUGUCGUGACUUUGAAGUUCUUAAAAAAGGAUCUUACGACAGUCAUCGAAGUGUUUGUUAUCCGUCAUAUAUUUUUGACAUAAAGAAAUAUGUCAUUGAACACGGCGCAUACCAACGGUGGAGUUCUUCUCCACGCAGGUGAAUGCAUUAUACUCUUCUCCGACAAUGUCACGAUGGAAUUUCACGGACAGGAGCAGCCGGAAUUCAUCGGGAAGAAGCAAGGCAGAUUGUACUUGACGACGCAUAGAAUGAUUUUUAACUCCAAGGACCAAAGGGACAGGAUGCUGUCCUUCAGCUUUCCAUUUGUGACAUUGAGCGAAGUUGGAUUGGAGCAACCAGUAUUCGGGGCAAAUUAUAUAGGUGGCAAGUGCCGUGCCCAGCCGAAUGGUAACUGGAUCGGAGAAUGCAAAUUUAAGUUACGAUUCAAGAGCGGAGGAGCAGUGGAUUUUGCGCAAGCUUUGUUGAGAGUAGCGUCAAUGGCUCAACGCAAUGGGCCUUCCAAUGAUGCGCCACCACCAUAUACCCCUCCAUUAUCCGAUUGGUAUCCUGCGCAACCUUCAGCUUAUCAGCCUCCACCAACUGGAUAUUAUGGAUGGAUACCUCCAACCAAUGUAUUUCCCGAUGUUCCACCAGGAAAUACGGUCUUUGUGACGGAUAGUCCGCCACCGUAUCCCGGUAUACAGCCGGGAUAUGGAUAUGCAAGCGGGCCGCCGCAUCAAGGUGCCGGAGGUGUAGGUAUGGGACAGUCAGGAUCUCCCGGAUGGGCUAAUCCGAAUUACAACGGCCAGCCGAUGUCUCAAGCAGAUGCAAAAGCCGCUGAAGCUGCGCAGAGCGCAUAUUAUGAUCCUAAUAGACCUCAAUGCGCUUACGUUCCACCACCAGAAUAUUACGAAAGUCCGCCGGCUUAUGCUAAGAAGUAUCAGUGAAUAUUUGUUGCAAGUGAAUUAUAUAGUGCAAUCGAUAUGCAUUCCACUUUAGACGAAUACUGCAAAAUUAUUCAAGAUGAAGGCUGAAGAUGAAUGCUACUAUUGUUACAGCGCUAUGCAACGUUAAAGCACAGGCAUUAUAUAUUGUAAGGUAUUUGCAACUAUGUAUUAACGCGAGUAUUUAAAAUUACUUCUUAUGUA